AGAGUUUGAUCCUGGCUCAGAUUGAACGCUGGCGGCGUGCCUAACACAUGCAAGUCGGGCGGUAACAGGUGUAGCAAUACAUGCUGACGAGCGGCGAACGGGUGAGUAACGCUUCGGAAUCUACCCAUGGGUGGGGAAUAACCAGCCGAAAGGUUGGCUAAUACCGCAUACGUCCUACGGGGGAAAGCAGGGGAUCGCAAGACCUUGCGCCGAUGGAUGAGCCGAAGCCGGAUUAGCUAGUUGGUAGGGUAACGGCCUACCAAGGCGACGAUCCGUAGCUGGUCUGAGAGGACGACCAGCCACACUGGGACUGAGACACGGCCCAGACUCCUACGGGAGGCAGCAGUGGGGAAUAUUGGACAAUGGGGGAGACCCUGAUCCAGCGACGCCGCGUGUGUGAAAAAGGCCUGCGGGUUGUAAAGCACUUUUAGGUGGGGGAUGAAAAAGUUCAGGGCUAAUACCCCCUGGGAUCUUGACCUAACCCACAGAAAAAGCACCGGCUAACUCUGUGCCAGCAGCCGCGGUAAUAACAGAGGGGGGCAAGCGUUAAUCGGAAUUACUGGGCGGUAAAGCGUGCGUAGACGGUUACAUAAGUUUCGGGGGGUGAAAGCCCCGGGCUCACCCUGGGAAUUGCAUUCGAGACUGCGUAGCUAAGGGUGGCGGGAAGAAGGGGAAAGCGGAAUUUCCGG
rnacentral:rRNA from 1 species